CCGUAACUAUAACGGUCCUAAGGUAGCGAAAUUCCUUGUCGGGUAAGUUCCGACCCGCACGAAAGGCGUAAUGAUUUGGGCACUGUCUCAACAGCCCGCCCGGCGAAAUUGUAGUACCGGUGAAGAUGCCGGUUACCCGCGACAAGACGGAAAGACCCCAUGGAGCUUUACUGUAGCCUAAUAUUGGGUUUCGAUGUUGCAUGCACAGGAUAGAUGGGACACUGGGAAACAGGAGCUUUGGCUUCUGCGGAGUGGCCGUUGGGAUACCAUCCUUGCGAUAUUGGAAUUCUAACCUGCGCCUUUGAAUCAAGGCGGGGGACAUUGUUAGGUGGGCAGUUUGACUGGGGCGGUCGCCUCCUAAAGAGUAACGGAGGCGUUCAAAGGUUCGCUCAGCUUGAACGGAAAUCAAGCAAAAGAGUGCAAACGCAGAAGCGAGCCUAACUGCGAGACUGACGGGUCGAGCAGUAACGAAAGUUGGAGUUAGUGAUCCGGUGGUAUGUGAGUGGAAAUGCCAUCGCUCAACGGAUAAAAGUUACCCUGGGGAUAACAGGCUGAUCUCCCCCAAGAGUCCACAUCGACGGGGAGGUUUGGCACCUCGAUGUCGGCUCAUCGCAUCCUGGGGCUGUAGUAGGUCCCAAGGGUUGGGCUGUUCGCCCAUUAAAGCGGUACGCGAGCUGGGUUCAGAACGUCGUGAGACAGUUCGGUCCCUAUCUGUCGUGGGCGCAGGAUAUUUGAUGGGAGCUGUUCCUAGUACGAGAGGACCGGAGCGGACGUACCUCUGGCGCACCAGUUGUUCUGCCAAGGGCAUAGCUGGGCAACUAUGUACGGAUCGGAUAAACGCUGAAAGCAUCUAAGCGUGAAGCCGACCCAAAGAUAAGAUAUCCCAUUGUUUCAAACAAGUAAGACCCCUUGAAGACUACAAGGUUGAUAGGCACGAUGUGUAAGUGGAGCGAUCCAUUCAGCAAGCGUGUACUAAUAGGUCGAGGGCUUGACCAC
rnacentral:rRNA from 1 species